rnacentral:rRNA from 1 species
AUUGAACGCUGGCGGCAGGCCUAACACAUGCAAGUCGAGCGGACGAAGGGAGCUUGCUCCUGGAUUCAGCGGCGGACGGGUGAGUAAUGCCUAGGAAUCUGCCUGGUAGAGGGGGAUAACGUCCGGAAACGGGCGCUAAUACUGCAUACGUCCUGAGGGAGAAAGAGGGGGAUCUUCGGAACUCACGCUUUUAGAUGAGCCUAGGUCGGAUUCCCUAGUUGGUGGGGUAAAGGCCUACCAGGGCGACGAUCCGUAACUGGUCUGCGAGGAUGACCAGUCACACUGGAACUGAGACACGGUCCAGACUCCUACGGGAGGCAGCAGUGGGGAAUAUUGGACAAUGGGCGAAAGCCUGAUCCAGCCAUGCCGCGUGUGUGAAGAAGGUCUUCGGAUUGUAAAGCACUUUAAGUUGGGAGGAAGGGCAGUAAGUUAAUACCUUGCUGUUUUGACGUUACCAACAGAAUAAGCACCGGCUAACUUCGUG